AAAUAUUUAUGCCCCGAUUCUUGUAUUUUUACAUCUUUGUGGCUGAGAGAGACAUUGAGACAUAAAGCGAGUCUCGAGAGGGAAAUAUUUUUGUGAGGGGAUCAUCUGUGCUGUCACUCGCCUGCAAACCUGUGUUCUCAGGGCUUUGUGUUAUUAGGAUCGUCGGAGGCGAGGUGUGAGCGGGCUGGGUGGAAGGGUGAGCUGCUUUUUAUGUCUGUCUGGUGACAUUUAUCAUGCUGUUUAAAUUCAUAUCGGGGAAAAAUUCUGUUUGAUGAUAGUUAGCAAUGUUUUGUGCAAAGUAGAGCAUAUGGCCAUGUAGAAUUUAAGCGAUGCUCUUUCAUUCUUAAUUUGUAAUUAUUUUUACACUCAACUGUACUGAGGUCAGAGAGUUUUAAAAAUUAAUGAGAUUCCCUGUGGAGUUCAAAUAGUAAUGUCUACGUGAGCUGCCACAAAAAGAUAAGAUUAUGCUGGCAUAUUUUUAACAUAGAUUUAACUUUCUUAUCUUGAACAUACUCCAUUUGAAAUAUAUGAAUUGUGCAAUAGUUUAUGGAAGCCUAAGUAUUUUGGGAUAUUAGUCCUUAAAAAAUUUUUUUUGGUGACCUAGAGAAAUGUUGUCAAAAUUAGACUGUAGAAGAUUAAUAUUUUCUGUGGAGAUAUUGCUAAAACUUAAUAGACAUUAUUGUUAUGGUAAUGGAGAAUACCGUAUACUUUCGAGGAAAUGACAAAUAAUGAAUGAGCCACAUGCUAAAAAAAUCUGCAAACGUGCUUUCAUCUUAAGUAAUAUAUAAAAAUUCAGGAGACAUUUAGGGUGAAAAAUUUCUGGCAUGAACAAAGAAGCAAGUGAACACAUAGAUGAGAAUUCUUUGUCACAAAAAUGAAGCCAGUGCAUGGAUUCAGGGGGUUAAGCGAUUCCUACAUUCUCAGCACCCCACAAAAGGGGUGAGUCCAGACACUUAAAAAUGUACCAAAAACUUUCAUUUCCCACAAUUUAAAAACAUUGUUUAUGUUCCUGGUACAGCACAUUGUUUAAAUGAGGGAGACUGAAAAGCAGCUUGAGUAUACAGUAAUCGGGGCUAAAGAUGCUUUUUAUCCCGAGCUUCCCAUUUACAAGACCCAUUCUGAGCUUCCUGUGAUAUAUUGUUAUGUAAAUACUGUGCAGCCAGGGAAAGCCGUACUAUGGGGAUUCAAUUUACUUUGAAAGUUGUUCAUUAUAGGAGGGAUGAAUGUUAUUUAUUUGAUGUGAUUCAAAGGCUGGAAAUGACUUUUUCAUUGUGGCGCCUUUUGUAAUGGGUGCAGGGUGAUCUAAUCUUUUUAAUUUUGGCUUUCACACCAGUGGAGAUGAAAAGAGAUCUGAACUCAUUUAUCGGUUGCUAGGUCCUUCCGGAGACCCAAGUCCUGUUCUUGGUUGCUAUGGCCAGUCUGACCUCAAUCUCUGUGGUUUUGGGGACUUAAGCAGUCUUUUUUUUUUUUUUUAUUGAGGAACGUGUACCUUGAUUUAUGUCCAAAAUUGUGGCUGAAUGUCUUUGUCUGCAUGUGAUAAAUGGUGCCGAACAAUUCAUCAGUUCUUACAAGUAAACACCGCUGUCCCACUAAAAAUAUGUUUUGUUCUGAGUUAAUGGUAUGGAACAAGGCAGCCUCCACAAACAGCUAUCUUUUAUUGUGGAGGGGCCUCUGAAACUUGGAGCAAAGUGGAGGAAAUUGGCAUUCAUUUUCUUGUGCAUUAGCAUUUCAUUUGUGAUUUGGAUGAUGCGGCUUUAGGUGGAUUGUGGAAGAGAGGGUAAACCUUCCAUUUCCUUACUUUUUCUUAGUUGGGUCUGCCUAGAAAACAGGCCCCCUUUGGAUGCCUGGAUGCUGCUGGGGCGCUGAGAAGUCAGGAGUAGUUUCCCUGAUGGGCUUGGCCUCCGAUUCGCGACUGCCAAGUGCUGAGGCAGAAACAGGCAGACGUUCUGCAGCUCUGUUGCCUUCAGUCUGGUGCUGGUUCUUUGAGCGAAAGUUGUAUCUAAUAUUGGUGACUCCCAGGAAGGUUCUGCUUGUGUGCUACUUAAUGGGCCCCGGACAUCCUUGCCUUCUAGAACCUUGUUAGAAAGGAGCCGUGGUACUUAAGAGGCCGUGGAGUAUACAGCUGUGCUUAGCAGAGGAGCCCGCAUGCGUCUCCCCGUUCCCUUAAAAACUGCCUAAUUGAUGCUGCAGGGAGCAUCCACUCUGCAAAUAAGAUGAUGAUGACAAAAUAGGUAUCAGGAAAGGCAUUUAUUGCUUAUAAGCACCAUCAGCUUCCUUCCGAGACAGAUUGCGGCUUUGUAGUGUAUUUUUUUCCGUUCGAUAGUAAUAUGCUAAUGGUUUUUAUUCCAAAUCAGCCAGCACUGAGUAUCUUCAGGAAAAACGGUUUCCGUCAGAAGUGGCAUCCUCCUCAAAAUGAAAGCCUCUAUUCUCUGCAAGAUCUUCCCAUCUAUUCCAACUGUGUCAAACUAUGGCAUAAACAGAAGAAAACAACAAUAGACUGUACAUGUCACUCACGUUGGCUGAGAGAUCAGCUGAGAAAGCAAGAAUUGGAAGAUGGAGGAAUAGAUGUACCAUCAUUUGAAAAAGUACUCUUCUCUUUCAAGCUGUAUAUAACUUAUCCAUUGUAAACUAAGACUAUUAAUAGUAAUAAUUAUAACAACACUUUAUUUUUGUCUAAUGCCAUAUAACUUACAAAGUCUUCCUCAAGUUUUCAUUUAUUUCUUUUUUGUCAGUCCCAUCAAUUAGUCAGGAUACAGCUUAUUAUUUUCUCCUUAUUUUCCACCUCUGCAGUUACUUCCUACUGCUGUUUCCAAACUUGGUGCAUUAGAGUUGAAGUAGAACUCCCAGCCCUGAACAAGAUCCGAAAGUCAUUAUGUUUGGGCAACGUGUUUGGUGAUAUGUUACAAUGUGGACAUUUCUGCUGUGGUUAACAUCCUGUAAAAGAGAAUACAAAUCACUAAAAAGCUCAGGUCAGAUAAUUCAGAAUUAAGGAGGUGAUGUUACUUUUUUGAAAUAGAGACAUGAGACAGUAUUAAAAAUGGACAGCGUGGACUAAUUCCUAAAAUUUAUUCUCAGUUAUAUCAUAGAGUCAUGUGGAUUCCAUCCAUUUCUCUAGUAAAUUAGCCACUGAUAAUCAUAAUUAUGACCCUUAGGUGUAGUAAGACAAUGAAAUGCCUCCUGAAUUAUUAAGAAGUGUUAAUUUAUGUCUACCCUGUACGUAGUUUCAAGUAUUUUACUGCAUUAUCAUUCCUUGAAAAUUGGUCACCAGUACAUAUGAUAUAUACAUAAGAUUAAAUUUUAGUCAUGGUAAUAUAUUUUUAGAAGAAGCCUUAUUCCUAGUGUUGAAUAAACAUGAUUAUAUUUUAUAUGAAUUUUCCCCCAGAUUUCUGUUUAAGGUCCACAGUCUUGACCUAUUUGAUCAUUAGCCAUAGGUCAUUUUUUGAGAAAAAUAAUGCCAAGAAUUUGUACGAUGCUUUAUUAUGAACCAAUACUUUCAUUGUCAUAAACAUUGUUCAAUUUAUUGUAUAAGCGCUCAAAAGGUAUUGUUACCAGUAUUUUAUAAAAUAAGCCCCAGGGAGCAUAAGUGGUUUGUACAAAGCCACAUGGUUAAUAAGUAGUAGAGAAGAAACCCCAUUCCAUCGGACCAAGUCAAGAACUUUUUCCAUCAAGCCACAGCCACCUCAGAAACUCAUCUCCCAGAAUUUGUGUCAGGAGCUUUCAGCCGACCAUGGGCCUCUCCACUUGUAAACCCAUCUGGUGAAGUUUCUUUCUAAGGCUCAUCAGAGGAGCUAAGAAAAACCAACACAUCAGAGACUCAGAAAAUUUGUUGUAAUCCUGAUUAUCAGUGAAAAGGAAUAAUGUCCCCAAUAUUAGAUCACGCUCCAUCCACCUGGAGAGGUGCAUUGAAUGCAUCAUUUUGUAGAGAGACCACUUUAUUUAUCCUACAAUAUGACCAAGACUGUGAUAGAAUGGGACCCUUUGUAAUAGCUUUUUACCAUAAAUGAGCAUAGCAAGCUUUGAAAGGAAAUAUAGGUGUGGGCAUUCUCCAUUUGCUUUGGAUACAAAACAGGUUUUCUGCCUUUGAUGAAAAGAAUAAGCUGUGCCCAUUCUAAGGAGAAAGUGUGAAAUAGGAGAGCUCUGAAUGCAAGGUUUUAUCAUCACCUCUUGCUUUUUUUUCUUUUCAUUCUAAUCAGAAACCUGUUUUUAAACAAGCUGCCCUGAUAUUAAUAAGUGACAUGGAAAAGUGACUGCCUUGAACAUGCUCCUAUGAAAAGUGGCGUAAGAAGGUGAGGGAUGCCUGAGGAAGAAGGGCCUUCACCAUUAAUAAUUAUCUGCGAGGAACAGGCAGUGCCUGGGAGGUAGGCUGGAUUCACAGAAACAGAAAUCUAAAACAUUUGGGCAGGCUUCUGCUUUUUCAUGAGAGGUUGCUGCUGCUGAAUGCAAAUUCCCAACUGGAAUAAAGCUGAUAACAAAGCCAUCUUGUGCUCAUCCAUUCCGGAAUACUAAACAGAAAUGUCUCCUGUAUUUAUUAAGCCACUUAUAAUUAUUUCUGACGUGUCAAAUAUACUGGGGAUAGAGAAGAUUGGGGGGACCAUUUUUUAUGUGAUGUCAGGCAUCAAAGAAUUGAAAGAGUGGCCCCAGAAAUGAUCAUUCUUUAAGUAUGACGCUGCCACUUAAUAAGCCAACAGAGAAAAUAUUGAAAGGAAUUCCGUCAACAUUCUGGGACUAGUGUAAUUUUGAACAAUCAGGCGUAAUGGCAAGAUCAGGCUUGAUGUCACGCUGUACACCCUGUAAUUCUGGGAAAUUAUAAAACUUGUGAACAAAAGGGAACGAGGAAUAUGCAAUGGUAGAAUGGAAAGAAGGAUGUGGGGAGCUUGAGAUUCCAGGUCUGUCCCCUCUGACCUCACUGAUAUGCAAAUUGUUUUAUUAUGUCAAAAUAGCAGAGGUGAAACUGUCAAGGUUUCCUAAGAAAAAAGUUUCACAGUUUCACCACAGAAAAAGAUGAGUUUUGCAUUUGGAAUGUCUGAGGGCAUCUGAAGUGUUGUCUCAUUAAAAUUUAUGAUCAGAAUUAAUUCACGUUCAUUUCAUUAAGAACUAAAUCACCUAGGUUGAAUUUGUGUGGGGAACCAUAAAAAAAGGAUAAUGAGAAAUGGCAGCAGGUCUGUGGAGUGGCCAGUGAGGACCACUCGUAGAUCUGAUCUUUUUCUUUUUUAAACUUUCCAUUUCGUGUUUGGGGAUUAUUUGGUGUUUGGAAAUCAAGGUCUUUUGUUGGCAUUUGUAUAUGAUAUGAAAUACAUAGAAUACUUUUUAAAAUCACUCGAGUUAAAGGAUUUAAAUGACCUUACAUGAGACCCAUACAUGUGGCAAUAAGAAAAAAAUGAGACUGCCGCAAGAAAAUAAGAAUUUUGUUUGUCGAGGAUAAUUUUGUGCCUGGCACCGUGCUUAAUUGACUUAAUGAUGCUCACAGAUAGAAAGCCUGAGUGUCAGAUAACUUUCCCACAAAGUUGCUGAAAUGGUCCAUUUCCUUUGCUACAGACGGCUCAUCAUCUCAAGUAACAAACCAGAUUAUCCCAAUAACAAACCAGCUCCUGAUAGGCCCUCUUCACUACAUCCUCUUGGAUGCAGAAUGCCAAGGCUGCAUCUCCUCCUCAUGCCUCUAUGUCUGUGUAGAUAAUUCCCUGUUGAGGAUGCUGACAUCUCUUGCCAGUAGACGUUGUUGUGUGUUUCCUGGCCUGUCCAUUUUCCUUCUAAUAAUUGGAUUCUAUUAGAAAAUUUAUUUCUUCUCUAACACUUCAACCGCCUUCUACCUCCAUGAGUUCUAAUCCUAGAACUGCCCCUCACUCGAUGAUAUUCUAGGCAGAUGACUAUUUCUGGGACACGCCAUGCUCAUCUGGAGAACCGGAGGCUGGUUAUUGCUAAAAUCUCAUCUCAGAGUGAAAGUCUGCUGGUCUGUGAGUUUAUGAGUUCGUGCCUUCUGAGCAUUGAAGGUGGUGAGCUUUCCCAAGCGCAGUUGUAGGAUUAGAAUUGCGACCUCGUGUGCUUCGUCUUACCGCUCCAUUUUCUGUCUACUCUCUUGAUUCCAGAUGAGACUACACACUGACCCCUUUAUUCAAAAGUGUAAUUCCUGACUAGGGUCCAACUGUAUACAAUACUUCCUUCCCCUCAGGAUUGCCAAAGAAUGUGCCAUCUCUGAGGCACUGGGAAAUGUGGCAAGGUUUCCCUCCUCAUUGCCAGCCCCUUGGGGACCAGCACGUGGGUCUCAAGUCCCACAGCACCUGGACCAUAAAAAGGCAGUUCAGCGCAUCCUGGGAAUAUAUGGGCAAAAUUGUGAGCUUUACCUAGAAUAGCUUCUCCUUGAUUCUCUUGCUGGGCCUCCGGGCUUCUUGCUCUUUCUCUGGUGACCGUGUCCAUUUUAGAGCUGCAAGGGAAAAAGGUUUCAAUCUGUUCCUUUUUCUUUGUGUAACACUUACUGAAUAGCUCAGUGCAAUUGGGCAUUCAGCGAGUCAUUUUCCUCUAGUCCUUGCAUUACUCGCUCUUUGCAAUGGAAAUUUCUAUUUCAGGUUCCUUAGUAGCCAUUUCUAAGUCAACCAUGUGGCCUCAAAGAGUUGGGACUUAAGCAUAAGCCUAGGCUUUUAGAAUAUAGAGAGGAGAAGGGAGCAAAGGAAGGAAGAGACAGGCUGAAUGUAUGGACAAUUUUACUACUGCUGAACUGCACAGUUGUUAACGUUGCAUCCCUGCUGUCCAGGUCAAUUUCACUUCAGUAACUGUGCAUAAAUCUGGAUUAUGAUAUAAAAAACAAACAAUUAAGCAAGCAAUCCUUUUAUGUUAUUUCAAACGUUACCAUUUAGAAAAACCUGCUUCUGGCUCUUGGGGUGAGUGUCUGGCAGGAUUGUAAGUGGUGAUGACUUUUUAGGUAGUUUUGUUAUAUUCUGUGAUUUGCCUGUGCUCUUGGAAAGUAAAGGGGAAUGACGUUAUAUGUGGAGCUAUGUAACCAUGAAUUUUUAAAGCCAAAUUGUCCCUGAGCUGAAAGGAUUUCCUGUGACCCCCAAUUAGUUUUCCUAAAAUCUGUGUUAAUACUUUCACACCAAAAUGGCAAAAAUUUUGCUUGUUAGUGCUUGGCUGCGGCUGGAGGCUGGUCUGUACAAACUGAAGGCGGUAAUAACAGCAGCAUGUAUUUACCGGCUGCUUGCUACAUGCCGUGUACUGGGUUAAGCAAUUCACGUGCAUAAAUUUAUUGAAUCUUCACCCUAAGUGGCAGUACUAUUUUUACUCCCAUUUUAGAGACGAAGAAAAUAAGUCAUAGAAAAAACAACUUGCGCAACUUGCAAAAUGUAGCAUUAGGAUUUGACCUCAGGAGGCUCGAUUCCAUCAGGCUACAGAUAGGUACAUACUCUACUCAGGCGCCCUAUUUAGUCAUUUUUAUUCUUACAUUUCCUUUCUUAUUUGACAUUUUCCACAUUCAGUAAGCAUCUUCCAGAAUUUAAAUUUUAAUAGAGUAAAUGGUAUCCUGAAAUGAUGAUCAGUGAGAACCAAUUUUGCUUCUGAGUGCAUCUAACUUAUUCUGAAUGAAGGAGACGCUGGCUCAGUAUGGAGGAAAAUGCCUGUGAGGAAGAGGCAGAAAAAUAAGCCUAGGGGCCAGAACAGUUUACAGAGCAAAGUUUUAGUUCCAGGCUAUUAAUUUCAUGCAUAUAGGAGAGAAAGAGCCAAUGUAAAAUAAAAACCUUUUGAUAGAAAUCUCUACCCAUAAUGACGUUGGUUUGGUUACCAAGGCUGGGCAAGGAGAAGAGAAGCAACGUAACAGGAUAGACUCUGGAGCCUGAUGGCCUAGCUCUUCCACUUCCUACUCUGAGAUCUGGGGCAAGUUCCUUGCUGGCUCUGUGACUCUGUUUCCCUAUCUGUAAAAGAAAGCUAAUAGUACUUACCUUAUAGGGUUGUCAUGGAGAUUAAAUGAAUUCAUGUAUGUAAAGCAUUUAGAACAGUGCCUGGCACAUAGUCGGUCAUGCCACAAGAGUGUUUGCUAUAUCAUCAUCAUCAUCGUUAUGAUCAUCAUCAUGAGGUGCUCAAACGUUGCGUGGCAAAGAUGUUGACAGUGGUUUUAUAUUUAGAUGUUCUUAGGGCUUUCAUAUAGGAAGAGAAGAUACUAGAUUUGAUUUAUUUUAGACAGACUUUGCUAAAUAAAGCAAUUCUUAGAUCACCUAGAUUUAUUUUGGUUUUAGAAUUCGAGUGGUCAUUUAUAAAUUAAUCAACUAAUGUGUUGCCAUGGCUCAGUCUGAAGGUGGAAUUUUGCUCCCAGCGAAAGGAGGAUUUAGCAUGCAAGUUGCACAAUUAUCCAACAGAGAGAUGGACCACUAUCUUGAAAAAUCUGAAGAAGGGAGUAGCAAAAAUGGGAGAUAGUCCUGCUUGAAAAGUCCAAGUGAUUAGGAAAGCUGGGGUUUGGAGUUUGACGCAGCAAAUUUAUUUUGGGGUGAUAAUAGUAGAGGUAAGGUAUAGCUUGUAGAUCAGUCUGAUAGAUUCCCAGACAGUUACAUCUUCACUCCUGCUUUCUUCAAAGAGUUGGGAUGGAAUACUCUGUGCCACUCUUUGAGGGCAUCCAUGGGGGUGAGAGAGGCUUUAUUCCUUCAAGGCAAUUUGGUCCAACUCUGCCAGCUCACUGGUAGGGGAAGCCUGGCAAAAUUCCAAAGGUUAUUAGUGUCGUAUCUAUUAUUUCACAGGGUGGAGUGUGUUUGGGUGGAUGGAGGAGGAAGCCUAUAAUUUCAUAGCUGUUAGUAGAACAUUUCUGCUAAAGCUCCUUUUAUUCUAGAAAUUGGUGAAAGGAUCUCAACAUUCAAGAUGAUUUGAGAGCAUUGUACUGUCCCCAGAAUAGAAUGCACCCACAGUUCUUGCUAAAUCUUGAUGGUGCAAGUUGGAAGAGUAUAAAUAUUUCCUCCAAAAUAUCUAUUACCAUCUCGACCCAUUUUUUGUGUGUGUGAGAUCUAAAUCAUCUUUUUAAUUAUUUUAACUCUGAAGAUUUUUUCCCCCAUAAAUAUAAAAUCAGAGCUGUAAGAUUAACCUAGAGCAGUUGAGAAAAAGUAUUGCACUUUAAAAUUGUGUCACCACUGUCUUGUUUAGGAAGAAAAUGACUUGAGUUAAACUAAAUGUUGAGUUAUCAACUGUUUCAGUUCCCGUAUUCAUCAUUGCCUGUAAAGUGUAAGCAUCCCACUUAUUUUUUUUAUACUUCUCUGAGUUGCAUUCUCAAUGACUACCAUAUAAAUAAAUUAGAACAACAAUCAUGCUGUGCUUUUUCGUCAUCAUGGGUCAUUUUCAUGAACUGCUUAGUAAUUUCAUUGCACUUGUGUAAUUAGGUGAAGAAGCUCCACCCCAGCAUCCAUGGGUCAGCUAUGUGGACUCUAGCUGCCAAAGGCGCUUCUCCUUCUGAACAGAGCGCUUUGCUCAGCCAGUGUAGACAUGGCCUGAUAAACAAUGGAACUUUCCUCUUGAGAGCUGGAGUUUGGAUUGAUCUAAUUCUUUAAUUCAAAACUGUGUACUGGUUUGAUGAAUGGUUCAAAUGCCUGCCUUUUAGUAAAAUGGGAGCUUAAAUGGACAAUAAUGUGAAGAAUAGCAUAAUUUAUAAUGAACUUGAAAGGCAGUAGCGCUCGCUGUUGUGCAAGCUAAUCCGGUACUAUGAAAUCAAAGUUUGAACAUGAGCUUAAAUAUCCGUGGCAGGGAGUUUGUUCUGGCAGGUUUCUAUCUGUCAGGUCUUAACACUAAACCUGUCAGAGUGCAACACGGCCAUGUCACUUUUGACCAAGAUGUCACAUAUAUUGUGGGAAACAACCUGCUUUGUGUUUUCUUCUCUAGGAUUUUACUGGGAAAAGCAAACGUAAAAGGAAUUUUUUUUAACGCUGCAUUUUUAUUUUGCAGAUUCUCAUGCUGAUGGAGUGAGUGACAGUGGGGUGCGAACUGUAGUUACUCGACUCAGCUCAGAAUGGCUGCGGGGAACGUAUUCAGACAUACCCAAGGAAGUCUGCCCAGGGUGAAACAAACACCGUUGAGGUUUAAAUCAGGAUGAAGUUGUGCUUAAUAGCCUCUGUUUAAUUCAUUCAGAAACCACGCGAUUUUUGUUGCUAUAUUUUAUUAGAGAGGAAGGAGAGGCUGUUUCUACAGGUGUCAUAGAAAAAUCAAUACUGAGCCAUGGAUUAUUGGAUCCCAUAGAACCAUGGAGAGUCGGCAGUGAAAUUCUUCCAAAGGCAGACGGUGUUCCUAGGUUUGGAAGUGUAAAUCCCAGGAGAAGUGAGCUGAAGAACAUUUUAUGCAUCACUCAUCCUAUUAUGAGCCCUGUGCUGUUCUCUCUCUCUACAAGACUGGCUGAAACAAUGACAAAAAUUGUUUAUAAUCUGUAUUCGGUGGAUCAUCUAGUUAGUACCCUGACUCUGAUUACUCACAAAGACAAGAUUCUAUAAGAAAAACUGUCUGUUAGAAGGCUGCUAUUGCGUUGUUAAUAAAAUAACAAGGAAAAUGAAACAUUCUGGAUGUCCCAUCUGACGAGUUGCAGUUAAAGAACAGAAACAGAGCAGUAAAACUGCAUGGCCACAUUUUCCCAGGGCCACCAACUGGGAGUUAAGCUGACUAACAUUUUGAAAGCCCGGCCCAUUUCAUUCACAGCAGGUGCGGCAGUGCUGAGGAUACAGGAGUAAACGGAAUAGACAUGAAUUCCUGCCUUCACAGAGCUUCCAUUCUAAUUGAUCAUAAACUCAACCCCAAACAAAUCCAGUAAAUCUGCUGCAAGAGAGAAAGAAAGAAGGAAUUCGCUUUUUUUAUUGCAGUUUCUAACUACAGUAAGUCAGGGCUCUAACGGAUUUUAUGCUUAUUGAACAUACUUGUUUUCUUAUGGUUGUUUUUGAUGAUGCCAAUUAAAAUGAUAUUGAUAAGUUGGAGUAUCUUGGGAAGACAAAACCACGAAUUUUCUGAAACCAGGUGUGUGGUAAAUGGAGUGCUAGGAGAAAUGGGUGAGCGAACGAGAUCACUUAUGUCCAGAAAAGAAAAGGGCUGCAGGAAGUGAUAGCUGACCUCAAGCACUGAAGGGGCUGAUUCAAAGGAAAACCAACAGACUGACUUUACAUCAUUCCAAAUAUAGGACUAGAACCAAAGUGUGGCAGUUUUUUAAAAAAUAGAUUUCAGCUCAAGACGGAGAAUUUUCUACAUAGAAGAGCUAUUCUGCAGACAAGAGGUUGUCAAGGGGCAAGAGGUCUCCAGCUUCCUGAUUGCUGAAGGUAACUCAGCAGGAGCUGGAAGAACAGGGCAGAGGUCCUCUCUGACAGGCAGACCAGCAUGUGCUUUGGGUUCUCCAACUCUCUAACACCAUUUUCGCUCUGUAGUUAACCACUGCAAUAAUUUAUAGCUCAAAAAAGCUCUCAGCCAACAUAUUUCCAAUGACAAUAUCCCUACCUGUUUCUGACCUUUAAGAUUUCUUACAAUUUUGCAAUUCUAAAAGUCUCUCUCUAUCUGGUAAAUUUUAUAGGAAAAGAGAAUGAAGCCUUUCUUAUUUAUCAGCCAUGUUUAAGAAAUGUUUUCUUGGUAUAUGGAUUUCACUUUUGUGUUUUAAAAUGGUGACCCCUUGGAGAUUUGCCUGUCUAAAUCCAUUUUCUUGUCAGGAUUGGAGAUGACAGGUUAUUCUAAUGCCCAAAUAUUAAUUUCCAUGGCAUAUCUAUAUAUUUCAUCGGCCAACCUUCUGUGAAUUUUCUAGAUUUCGAUUAGCUUGUCCUAAACUCCUGGCAAACUAAAUUUCUCUAACAGUCUUCAAUUCGUUGCAUUAAAUGCCUGUUCAGCCUUGGAAGAUAUAUUGAUUUUUUUUCUCAGCAAAGUGACAAAUACCAUUUUAUAGAGAUUGAUUACAUUUUAUGGAACACAGAGAGAGAGCAGAUCUUAGUGAGACAAGCUUGGAGCUUACAAAAAUGAAAAAAUCAUUUGAAUUAAUAAUGAAGUUAAUGAAUUCAUCUGUUGCUGAUCAAGUAGAAAUAUUUUGAGAAAAAAUGGAAAGUUCUGCAGCUGCACAAACACUGAAGAAUUAAGACCAAUUUCAAUACUUUCGAGGUGCUGGUUUUGUGAAACCUUUUAAAAAGUUAAUAGUAAUUAUGUUUAAACCUAAAGCUAUGACAUUAACCCCCAGCAUACCUGGGCAUGCAGUGUGAUAGUAAUUGUAUGGAAAGACAUUUUUCAGUUAAGUCAGGACAAAAGUAAAUCAUGAUCCAUGUCAACUAAAUUUGAAAUAUUAAGAAGUCUAUGGGGAGCAGUCUUUUUUCCUGAUAUGAUUAAUGUAGCCUAAAUUUAAAAUUGAACUGAAUUUCUUUUCCUUCUAAGCUUCUUACAAUUAGGCCGAAAUUGGAACAAAUAUUAAUAUGUUUUUAUUAUUCUGCCUUGCUGUCCAGUAGCUUUUACCUUAUUUAAAAGGUAUUUAAAAACAUACAAACAAAAACCCAUGCACACAUGUCAUAAGCUUAAUGUAUGUAAAGAGUACCUACUAUAUUAUUUGAAAGCAAAUAGAAAUAAGAAACAAAGAGUAUUUUCUGGUGUUGAAAUAAACUAUGGUGGUGUGGGGGAGGAAGACCUGGGAAACAUUGCUAAGGGAGAUUAUAGAAUUACUUUCUUUGAGAAACCUUUAAAACAAAGACACCAGUUCAUGUCUGUUUAAGGACCUUAUCAUCAUCUUCUAGCCCCAUCACCUAGCAUUGUACCCAACAAAGUAUCUAGCGUGUAGGAGGAGCUGAAUAGUAUCUGUUGAAUGCAUAAACAAGUUUUCCUAAGAGCGGAAAGAAAUAAAAAGCAUCAUCACAAACAAUGUUUGUUGAGCCAGUAGUAUGUGCCAUGGAACUUUACUGUUUUUACCUCUAAUGUUUGCAAAUCUUACAUGGCAAAAUGAAAUAUGUAUUUACAUGUUUGUUAUAGUUAUGAGGAAAAAUAAUUAUACCUGAGGAUUUGGGAAACACCAGAGAAAUUAUUCUGCAUAUUUUGUUGCCCACCCUUUGUUCUGAGAUUGUACCGCACAUAGUAACACUCUAUUAUUGAAAAAUUAUUUUCUAAUUGUUUCACUGGUAUAUGCUUGAUCUCUUCUAUAAGCUCCUUGUUGGUAAAUGAUUUUUGGUUCUUCCUAGAUGUUCUCUGUAUUAACCUGACUGUAGCUUUGGAUUCGAAGAGUUUCUAAAAGUCCUAAGUUAUUGAUCCAUACAGUCGAGGGGUGAAAUCUCCAAUUUUGACUUAUUUAUGCCUAAGUGAUGCAGAAACUAUUCCAACAAUAGUUGACUAUUUCCUUUGAUCAUAUAUCUAGAGAAAGUCUUUUAUAUUAUUUUUUAUUUUAUUGAACUUUCCCAUUUUACGUCUGGAAAGAGUAGUUUUGCUCAAGAACUUAGUCUUUGCUUAAGUAUUCUUGCAGUUUGUAAAACAUGAUUUUAAAAGUAAUUUAAAUAAAAUAACAGCUGUAGGACUUGCUAGCUGCUAUUGCUCUAUGAAACUCUGCAGUAGUUUUCUCCUUGUUAUUUCCUAUCCGAAUGGGCUUGGUAAAGCUGUUCCUUUCACUGUGACAUAUACAGCUAGCAAAGGAUACGUGUGUUCUAUUGGUGCUAUUUAAAUAUGUGAAAAUGGGACUUAAUUUACACCCAGACUACUUUGUAUUUUACUUUUCCUCUCACAUUUCUUUGAAUUGAAGUGAAGUAAGAAUGCAGAUUAAAACCAAAUGCUGAAAAAUUGAAAAGUGAAACAUGGGAAAUACAUCAAUCUACCUAAUUAUGGAGAAUUUCAUGAUGAAGUUAUAUUUUUUUCAUACUGUUUUGAGUUAAAAGAAACUUCUGAACUUUAAAAAAAUGCAUGUUACUUUUAUGUUAAUUUUUUAAAACUGCUGUAUUGGUAUAGAAAAAAAUCUCAUCUUUUACAUAGAAUAAAGUUAGUGAUUUAAAUGGCAUCUGUUAGAUGUCAUUUUGAGAACAAAUUGCUAUUAAACUUAACUGUAAAAUAUGUGUUCAUAUUCAGCAUUCCCAUAUAUGAUAAGUUACAAUAUUUUAUGAGAACCAAUUACCAAAGGUAUUAAAUUCGAGAAUAAGUGAAGGUGGUCUUAUGGAAGUUAUCUAAUGAAUAAUCAAGCGCAAAAUUACAUAAUUUAGCCUAUAAACUCUAAUAUUACAUGUAUGUAUUUAUUUCGGGCUCUUUAAAAAUCUAAUUAUAAACUUUCCUCCAUCAGGUGGAAAGAUUGAUAGGUUAAUUAAAAUGGAAAGGUUUUAGUAAAGUGGAAGUCAGCGUGUACAUCGGUAAAUUUUCUGAAUGAGUUUUAAAGCCUGCAAUUCCAUUAAAUUUUGAGAAUUAAUUAAUUAAAAUGAAAGGAAGCCAGUUUCCCCUCCACACUAUCUUCAAAAGUGACACUUUUUUCUGAAGUUAUUUCAAGUCUUUAGCAAGCUUUUAAAAGAUUUUGCAAACACUAUGUAAGUUGUUUUAGCUACUUCAAAGUUAAAAUUUUGUUUUUUUUUAAGUUACAGAAAAGUUUUUGCUCAUUGAUACAGAAGUGUGUAAAUUAAAAAGUGAAAGUGCUGCCCUUUACUUCUUGUCCCAUGCUUCAGUCCUGUCACUGUCAACUGAGCUUUUUCUAUAAGCAAAGAAACAUAUACAUAAAUACACAUUGCUUUUUUCAUUAAAAACUGGAUUAUUUUAUGAAUAUUUUUCUACAAUUUGUUUUUAAAUUAUUUAUCUUGAACAUUAUUGCACAAGAACAUGUAGAUUUUCAGAAUCUAUAAUUGCAUAGUUUCCUGUAGUAUGUAUGUACCUUGAUGUAACUGUUCCUUUCAUGUGCUUAUAAAUUGUCCCCACUUUUUUCUGUAAAUUAAUAAUUAUAUGGGCAUCUGUGUGUGUGUGUGCAUGUGUGUACAUGUGCAUGUGUGUACAUAUGCAUGAGCUUCAUCUAUCGUGCACAUGUGUGGUGACUUUCCUAAGCUAGACUACUAGAAACAUUUUUCUUUCAUUAAAGAAUAUGGGCAUUUAAAAUUUUGUCAGGUAUUACCAAUUGCCCCUUCGAUCAAUUUAAAUUCUUACAAAUAGAUAUUAAUAGCCCUCUUUUCCCAGUACCUUUGCCAGCACUGAAUACUAUUUAUUCUCUUAAUUUUUGACCAGUAUGAUAGUAUUUGUGGAUGAUUUUCUAAUUUCUCUAAGGAUUAACCAAGCUAAUGUUUAUUUAUCUGAAGGGUUAGAAUUGAAUGAGACCUUCUAAAAAUGGACAGUUAGAGUUAUCAGAAGUAGAGAACUUUAAAAAGUUGUUUUUAAGGUAAUAGUAAUGUCUUACUGAAAUAAGUUGAACUUCAAAGUCAUUCUUAAAAACAUUGGAAUAUUGAUAUGUAGGAAUUUCUGAUGAGAUCUUGGAUUGAGGGCUUCUGCUUUUGAGAGAAAUGAAAAUAUUAAUGUUUAUUUGGAGCAAAGCAUAGUUUCUGCUUGUCUCCCAAUCGUCCUCCUUCCCAAAGUCCUUCUGUUCACUUUUCCUUAAAUACUUUAAAGGUUCUCUGUUGCCUAAGAGAUUAAAAAUAAUACUAUAACGUGAGUUGCUUCAGAAAUCCAGUUUCUCAGUUCUCAUCCCCCAAGAUUCUGAUUCACAAUGUCUGGAGUGGGUUGGAUCAUCUGAGUUUUCAAUAGGAAUGCCAGGUGAUUCUCCAGACUACAUCUUGAGAAAGACUGGGGGAAAGCAGUUUAUGUAGUAGUAAAGACUCCUAGUAAUUACCUUUCUUACCUUUUUAACCUCACGCAUAAGUCUGUUCUCUAGCCAAAUGGAAUGACAUGCUCUCUCUCAAAUUGGAUUCCAGCUUCUUCUAUCUCUGUAUUUUUCCCUGGAAAACCAAUUCACUCCUCUCAACCUCUGUCUUCACCUUAUGCCUUGUGUCUUAAAUCAAAUCCCGUAUCUUAAAUGAAGACUUCUAUUUCUUCAUCCCACGAUGAUCCACUUCUACAGCAUUUAUCUACAUCAUACAUUUGGCACUUAUGGUUUAGUCCUGUUGCUUGUGGUUCAUGUGUAAUUCUUCUCUGUAUGCCUCACAGUGCCUUACACAUAAUCAACACUGUAAAAAAUGUAUUGGUUGGUUAAGUGAGUGAGUGAUACCGUAAUUAGACUGCUAGGAGGGAGCAAGUCAAAAACUGCACGUCAACCCCAUGAAGCCACUUGUUGAAAUUGUGUAAGUUGUUCUACUCCUGAGAGACUCAGUUGCUCUCACUUCAAAUUGGAUUGCUUAUUUUGAUGAAUAAAACAAAAGCUAAUGCUUACCAUUUAUUUGGGUCUAUUAAUUGCAUUUCAAAUCACCCUACGUGCAGUACUUGAGAAAGUUAAUUCAUACCAAAGAUAGAGUUUUAAAAUUUUAUUUGAAAUCUAAUGUUAUAACUCCAUACAAUUUUUUCCCAGGAGGUCUAUGUUGCUAAAGGCCCAGCUUGCUUAGCUUUCUAAAAGUAGUUUAGCUUUCCUUAAAGAAAAUUGUUUUUGUGUUCAGAAUAAUUUAUCAGUAGCUACAACAUAACAUUCUGAUGAGGUCUUUAGAAUAAAUGUAACAUUUGUCACAGGCUCAGCACCUUAAAUGCAUUUAAUUCCUCUGCUGUAUUCUUGCUGUUUAGAACCAAAUUAUGUAAUUUAGCAUAGCUAUGAGUAUAACCUGGCACUGUUCGUAAAAAUUGGGAUAUACUUCUUGCUACUAAAAAUGAUAAUUUCUUGAGCAUGGAACUAACAUAUAUUUACCAAUGUUAUUCAAGAUUGUCUCAAGAAAAGCACUGUUCAUUUGAGAAAAAUAUUUGAUCAUGAGGGAGGUAUCUUCCUAAUGCUGUUUCAUGACAUAGGAAAAUUUGCACUAUCUAUUUUUUCGCAAUUUUGAAAAACAAGCACUUGCUAAGUCACCUUGGAAAAAUGGAGAUGAUUUAUUAAUUUGUCAUUUUCCUGAACUGAAAACGUCUUAAUGAAUAAAAAUGAAUAUAUGUCCAUCAGAUAUGUAUCCCUUUCUCUUAACACUGGCAAUUUAAUGCCUUAGUGGAACGUCUUUGGCCAGGCUGGUCUCCUGUAGGUUUGACUGCGGAGGAGCAGGUGUAUGCUUCCAAAGUGUCUUUACAAGUGUCGCAGUGGGGCUUCCCUCCCACGCCUCCGCAGGAGACAGCUCAUCUGUUUAAUCCUUGUGUUUUAGUCAACCUUUCUUAUUAUGCAGACAGGGCUCGGAGGCUCAGCUGGAUUUUGACUCUCCGAAUGAAUUGAUGGGGUUCUUUGAUCUUAACACUGUAUUGCGUCUGUUUCAUCUCUCCCCUCCAUGCACAGUGUUCCAAACUCCAGUUCUAACUGGUGAUCUUAAAAUAAAUGGGUAAUUAUACAAACAAAUAAACAAAUAAGAAUUGCCAUUUAAAACCCAGCUACAAAUUUCACUUCAUUUUGGACUUUUCAAUUUUUUUGGCAUAGGAAACUUUCUUGAAACAGAUCCCCCAAACAAUUUAAUUAUGUUGCUCUGUAAGGGACUUGAUUUGAGAUGCGUGUAUGAGUGUGUAUGGAUGUUGUAGGAUCAGAUUUGCAUAGGAAAUAAGAACAACAGAUUUUUGCAAUUUAGUACAUUGUAUGAUAGCAUAAUAUCUUUUAACAGACCAUAUUACAGCAGAAGGUGUACAACCUACUUAGAAAGAUCCACUGUAGAACUAUAAAGAUUCUGCUGGGCAAUAUUCCUCUUUUUGAUGGUCGUGAGAGAGACUGAAUUGCAAAGAAAAUCAGGUAGAAUCAGAACUAAGCCAUAUGGAGAAAUCAGUCUGGGUCAUAGGAUGCUAAAAUAUCAUCAUUUCCCUUAAACAAAUCGUUAAAAUGAAAUGUGCAUGUUCUUGUGUGAGGUGGGAGUGGAGGGAUGUUGAGGGAAGAGCAUGCAUUGUUUUUAGCCACAUUAAAGCAAAUAAAGAUAUGAUUAAUUGAACCAGAAAAUAUCAAGUUUUUAUCAGAGUAACCUUUCAUAUUCUAAUCUGGUAUUUUGCAGACUUUUAUUAAUUCUUUUUAUUUUUAAUUCCCCAUAAAUCCUCAUUUAUCUUUAAAUAUACCACGAUCUUGUGAUGAUAAUGUAAUGUCAAAGCUGUCAGAAUAAUUUCAGCUGAGCAAAAAAACUGAUGUUUCUGAAGAGCCAGUGGCCCUUGAGAGAGUUACAAAAAGGUCUUUCUUUAGCAAGAAUAUUGUGAUAUGACCUUCUGGUCUAUUAAACAUAUCCUUAUCCCAACACGUAUACACUAAAUAUACUAAUAACUAUUAGUGAAUUGUCAGAAUAAACAUUUUCCAUAAAAUAUCUGGAAAUAAAAUAUAUAAAGGAUUUGAUGCCUAAUCAUAACUUUAAAAUAUUGCUGUUUUAAAAAUAUUCAGCUAACUUUCCUCCACUCAAAAGUAUCUCUCAAGCCCCCGCAUGGUACCCAACUCUGAACCAGGGAGAUUUUCUUCACUAUUUUUGUACUUUCCAUAUGGGAUCUGAGAAUAACUGUGCAGGAAGGAAAUAUAAAAGGUUAUCCAACCCUUCUUCAGGCAGAACUACUCUGAGACCCACUAAAACGGGUGUUACUCCCCUCUAACCUAUUUUUCUACCUUGCUACCAACUGGGAUUUGCUUUCUCUUUGAUUGUUUGUUUAUUUGUUAAUGUUUUAUUGGAAAGGAAAGAUCUAGCCACCAGCUGGGCAAAGAUAGGUGAUUUCUAUGUACUUCAUUUAGUUUUCCUGACUUUAUUUGCUUUAGUUUCUUCACUCACAUACCUGAUUGCUGUGUUCCUUCUGUAAAAUUGAAACAAAAAUGUCUACACUCUUAGUCUAUGAUGAUUCUGUGCUGCGUGAACUUCUGAAAGGUACGGUUUGGCCUGUCCCACAUGAAAUGGAUCAACAUAAGUCAAAAUUUCAUUUUAUUUCUAUGCUUUGAGGAUUUACAAAUCCUCAAAAGUUCCAGUUUACAUUCAAAUAAUGUCCGUUUGGUUCACUGAUGUAACUCCCAGGUCAAGGCAGCUUACCACAUUAGAAUUUGUUUAAAAGAUGCUAAAUUGCUACCUGCAUGUUUCUUUGUGUUUAUAUAUUCCGACACAUACUUAUUCUUAACCUGCCUGAUCAUUAUUUCCUAGCAUUAAUUGGAUAACUCACUUGUACUCCAUUAUUCUACCUAAGUGUGAAAGGUGAUUUUCUUACGUUAUCCUCCAAAGAAGGAAGGAGAGAAAACAUUUAUAUUGGGUGUGUUGGUGGAGAUGUGGUUUCUAACUAUUAACUGCCACUGAAAUGCCCUUGUACUGUCUGUUGGACUAUGCCUGUUGGUCUGUGACAGUCAUGAUGUGGCCUCAAUUCUUAUACAUCUCUUGUAUCCAUAAACUUCCAGGCAACCAGCCUCCCAGAAGUUGCCCUAGGCUGCAUUAUUUUCAAACUCGGAAGUUUGAAUGACCCGUUAGUGGGUCAUGAAGUCAACUUAGUAGAUCAUAACCAGCAUUAAAAAAAAAAAGCCUUUGUAGUUCAUGAGCGUGGUGAUUGGGUAUUCACGCUGUUAUGUAAGAUGUGCCUUCCCACAAUCCUUGUUAUGACAUCAGCACAUUACCCAUCUGACAUAAGGAAAAAAAGUAAGAGAAAAAAGAAUUAUCAGAGUGCAUUGCACAUAGAGUUAACGUAGAGAGGAAACUCUAGUUAUAUUUUGCUGCGCACUUGCGUUUUAUUUCAAGACUGAGAAAUUUAAGUGCCGUUCAGCAAGCGGUUGACUGAUUGUACCCGCCAGCUGGCUAAUAUCAUAAUUAACAAAGUUGCUACUACGUCUGCAAAGUUUAAUCGAAAAAUUUGCCAGUGAUAUGAUGGCAUUGUCACAAAGAUCACAAGGGACACCGAGUCGACUUUUGCUCAAGGUGGAACGGCAAAGCUAUGUAGGCAAGACGAGAAAUCGCGAACUUGUUCAGCCAAAGGUCAUGCUUCAUAUCACCCACCAGGGAGGAUCAUGUCUCAUGAAAACUUUCAAAUUUGAUUUUGAAAAUUAUUCAGAAAAAUUUAAGCCAUGCUAUCUCCCAGUGUAGGAAAGAGUAUGCUCUGGAGAGUCCUAUAAUUCAAAGAAAAUGGUCUGGGAUAACAUUUGAGUCCUCAUGCUACCAAAAUCCUCUUGGCCAGGUAUACAAAGCAUUUAACAUUGUGACAUUAAAAUGUUGGAAGAAUAAUUAAAAUAAAAAUCUAAUAAUAGGUUUUUAGAAAUCACUAAAUUACUAUGUUUGAUCCAGAGAGGAGAAAGAAAAGGCUGUUUUCAUUCUCCACAGCAUCUGAGGUGUGUUAACUGCUUCUGUUGCUAUAAAUACCAUUUUAAUUGUAUGUCAUUGUUCCUUAGAGUCAUUUCUAGAAAGUUAAUUCAGAUGAUGUUAAUGCCUAACUCUGAGUUUCUGCUUACAGAAGGACCAGGUAAAAGAGGAAUUUCAUAUAAUAAGCUAGCUUCAUUUCUUCCAGCUUCUUUAUUAUAGAGAUUUUUUUUAAUGAAAUUUGUUUUGAGUGUAGGUUGCAAUUUUUUUAAGAACAUAGAAGUUAGCCAAUUACCCUGUCUUAAAAAUAUUUUUUCAGGCACCUUCUUUUGAAGAUAAGCAAGGCUUAAAAACUGAUUCCUCCACAUGAGAUAUUCAAACCGAGGUCAUUUUGGAGGGUAUUUUAUGUCUCUCCUUUGGUUAGGAAUUGAACUCCUUUUGUUCCCAAACACUUUAGAGGGGCAGAGAAAGGGCCCCCCUUUCACACCCCUUUGUAUUGUUCUCCGCCUUGCUCUGUGCUUAAGAAAAUCAUGGACUCAGAGCACCGAGGAUUCACACACCAGACUUAAAUUCUUUUUGUGUACAGGCCUCAUCUUUACGUGUUCCUCCUCUCUCCACUUUUGAAUAGCUGCACCUAACUCCAUCUCAGUUUUUUAAAUGCUUUCCUUUUAGACCUCAACAGUGACCUCAUUCUGCAAGAAGUGCAGCCCAGACUCUGCUGUUUCUCCUUUGGGCUCAUUUUAAUGUCUCUUGAGCUCUAAGAUACCUUUGUUAGUAAGAGAGUUCUCGUUCAGGGUUGGAAGAAAGGUCUCCUCUGAAAGGGGCCUAAUGAGUAAAGCAGGCUCUCCUGCAGACAGAAGGGGCUCAGAGUGCGUCUACAAAAGACGGGUGAAGACAGAUACCUGGACCACGUGUGCUGGGACUGCCAACCAGCAUUUCCAUACUUACAGUCACCCCCUCCUGACAGAUGGGAAGGAUCAUUGCUGGGGAUACAGUUGGUAAACUGGCUAGAACAAAUGAUAGUCAAUUAAAGGUAAAAUAACAUUUUGUUGAAACCUGGCCAUAUUUGGUAUAUUCAGUUGAAAUAAACGACCUGCAGUAGUUUAUGUGCUGAACCUUUGUGGCCCAUCACUGAUUUCUUUUCAUUCUACGAAUUUGCCUCUGACAAUAAUAAAAUAGCUACACAUUUUCUCUUUUAAAGUUGGGUUUGAAGAAGGAUUCACUGAACUAACACAUUUGACCCUAAUGCAGCCCCACUUCAGAAGAAAGUUUCUCCUCUUGCUCUUCUGUGAACAUAAUUCAAAGAUAAUCCCAAUAGAAAAGCAAUUUGCGUCCAUUUAGGCUUCAAAAUGCAUGAGGCGGAGGUGAACCGUACAAUCCAAUGAAGGAGGCUGCUGUGAGUGUCUUCCUUCCUGAACUUCUUUCCUGACAGGAAAGAUAUCUGUCAACAACUCGUAGUCUGUAGAUCUAGAAGGUGGCUGCCGUGUAUGGAUUUUCAGCAAAUUUUUGGUGGUGUGACUUGAUCUAUGUGAGCAGUGAAAUUUGGUUCACUCACACGAGUCCAGAAAUGCUGUGUGAUUUGAGAACGACAGCGCUCCUGGGUCCUGUAACGCUCAUGGAGUGAGGUUCAGAGCACAUGGCUCUGAAACAAUAGGGACUAGGAUCAGCUAAGCCUAGAUUUGAGUCCCACACCAAUACCUCCUUGUUUUCCAAUGUAGGCAAGUUUUUUGGCUUCCCUGAGCCUCAUUCUCCUUGUGAGUAAUAAAGGAGGGAGAGAAUACCACAUUUACUUUAUUUAAGUUGGCUUGUGAAGAUUAAAUCAGAUAAUAUAUUUUCAUGGUACCAAAACAUAGUAAAUGGUCAACUAAUGGUCACUACUUCUGUUAUCAUUAUUAUUUUUACCAGUAAUAAUACUUUUAAGAUUAUUAUCAUCAUCAUUAUUAAUGCUAUUAACGAUUAUGUGAAAGGUUCAAAAUUUUUCCUUCUGAAGAACUUAGGUGGUGGAAAACUAAAAGAUGCACACGUUAGAUGCUUUUCUCUGCUAGUGCCACAGGUCCCGUCACAUGAAGAUGUGGAAAAGCUUAAGUUUUAAAUGGGAUCCCCUGGAGGCCUCUGUACUAUCACAAAGUUUCAGUAAAUACUUAUUUUCUGUGAAAUCUAAGAUGCUGCACAAGGUGAAAAUUUUUUAAAAUCCACCAAAUUUCUUUGCUUGUAUCUAAUUAAUGCCAAAUAUUUAGAGAAGAUAGAAAAAGUGUCACUUACAAGCUAGAUAUUUUUACCCUCACUGCCAAGAACUGAGAUGUCUAGUUAAUGAGCUGGCUUUUUCAUUUGACUUUUGGAUAUGUGAUAUUAUGAAAAACCAUUUUGGGAUCGGCUUCUUGUGUUACCAGUAGUGGUGGCCUUGUUGAUUACAGGGUGCAAUGUGAAAAUCCUGAAUCUCACGAUGUGUGGAAUUGAUCAGAAUGAAGGCUUUCUAUAGGAAAAGCCGUCUUGCUGGCUGAAAAGCCCUAGUGAGCUGCCAGCCAUCUUCCUGGACCCAGAACAUCACAGGAAAGCAUACUAUCAGGUCUCCAGGCCAUUAAAAAGUUUCAUUCUUGCUGCUAAACAAGAGAAGAGUAAAUAGGCUUGUUUUUGCCUCCAAAACACAUGGCUCCUCACAGACAGAAAAGUCAGAUGUUAAUUAAACCUUUGUGGGGUUAGAAAGGAUCAUGCCAUCCGGUAUUAAAAAGUCAGCUUUGACUUCUAAUUGCAUGCCAAAAAGAAGAGCUGCAAAUGUAUUUGCUAACAAAGGUUCUUAUUGCAUACAAGUCUUGUUUAAAGUAAAAAGAGAAAUCUUUUUUCUUCAUAUUUGGAAUCGCUCUAAUCACAAUGGAGCCUUCAUUAAAAUAAUAUCUUGAGUAUAUAUUUUUAUAUUUUAUUUAAUUUUCACCUAUUUUGUGGAUUUCCCUCUUUCAUGAAGCCAUCCCUCAAAGGAAAUGCUGACAAUUAACAUCCAUGCCCUGGUGUGUUUUCUGAUGUUUCAUUUUAAAUAUUCACACAUGGAUUAAGUGCAGCAUUGUUUACCUUUCACAAUGCUUGGCAUACAGUAGAGGCUAAAUAAAGUACAAUUAAAAGAAAAUAGCCUUCCUAGAAUUAUAGCGAUGUUUUCCUCAUUUUCAUUUCCAUUUUGUCAUUUUGCAGUGAAGCUGGUGCAAUUUCUCCUCAAGUGGGCGAGGUUUAGGAUUGUUCACAGUCGCAAGUGAGAGGACAAAAUAAGAGAGAUUUUCAUUUAUAAGACUGCCUUUCUCUUAUCUAUUGGUCUUGCCUCCCAGACUGUCUGUCUGUCUCUGGAAAGCAAAGUCAAUAAAAAUGAUUAGAGCUGGCAUCUCACAAAUGUACACCCUUAAACCAUGAAGCAGUAAUGCUGUGCAGGAAAUAUUUUUCUGACCUUUUCAAAUUGCAUCCAACUGUCUCGGGAAUUUCUCAGUGACUAGAGGUAAUAAGGUUCAAUCCGUUUUACUGGCUGGCUUCAAAUUUAGUUCCUCCGAAUCUCUUACUUAUCUAUUCUUUGCAUCUUGGUUCUGGCAUCCAUUCAGCACAGAAAUCCAUGCAUCUAAUCUUUUUUCCCCUUCUUAGGUUUUGCUAAAGGAUCACACUGUGGAAUCUAUGACCAUGACAACUCUGCUCUAUUGCCCCUUCAAAAACAAAAUACUAGCAUGGGAAGGUUAGUGGGCCUGUUGUCUUUUGAGAAGCCCUUGUUGAAUUUAAUUAGCUUGUAGAUUUCAUUUCCGUCUUACAUCUCAGUUUUUACUUAUGUGAUUUAUGCCUCAGUAAUCUUCAUUAUAUAAAACUUUUUCAAAUUAACUAUACCAUGAGCGGUCUCUGGAAUAUUAAAGAGGCAAAAAUAUGUGAAUUUCUUUUGUGUUAAAUUGAUUUUGGUUUUUUUUUCCGUGAGUCCAAGUGCAAUGGACACACUCUCUGGGUAAAGACGGGAGUCAACCAAGUGUGACGAGCUAAAAGGCAGCUGGGCGACCCCAUUCGGCACCAUGUUCCCUGAAGGAGAACAGAAAACAGAAGCUGGGGAUACAAUUCUUGACCUCACAAAAGUGUUGCAUGUCAGGAAGCCUUGACAAGGAGUUAAAAGCUUGUCUUACUUUUCAAAUUUAGAGCAUCUCCAUGCUGAAUGUGAUUCAGGGGGAGAUAUCAAUGUUUUCUCAUUUGUAGGACACACCAAAUUCAACACAGACUCUGUUUUGUUGCUCCCAUCCAUCGCCUUUGUACUGCCUUCUGCAGCGGUGAUUAGAAUCUUGGCUGGAAGUUCCUGUGGUCAGUGAAGCUUGGAGGCUCUUUCUGGAACCUCUCUGUUCAUGGGCAAACAGCCACCAGGAGGAGGAAAUCUUUUUGAAGUUGUCCUUCUAAGAGUCUGUGUUUGCUGGUAAAAUAAUUGUCAAGUUUGAUCAUCAUAAGAUACUUGGCUUUAUAAAAAUGAGAUCAGUUCAAACAACCCUAUUCAAAAAAUAGAUUUAGAGGGAAGAGGAUGAAGAGUAGACAUUUUUUUAUUCACAGCAAUGGAUUUUUUUCCUUAAAAGAAACUGAGUAUACUUAUGCCAAAGUUCAUCUUCAUAGUAUAGCUUAUCGUUCCCAUUUUAAAAAACAAAAAUAAUGGUGUUGAUGAAUGUUAAAAGGAAACGUACGAAGUAUGUGCAAGAAUAUGAAUUUUUUGAAGUUGUUAUUUUGUCAUUUGAAAUUUAGUUCAUCUUGACGGUAGAGUCACAGUCCUGAUGUUGUCCCUUACAACCUGGGUAUAAUUAGCUGGUAUUUCUUUUUAGUAGAGAAGAGGCAUUUUGGCAGUUUUGCACAAUCAAAUUUACUCAAUAUUUGCAAUGCAGCACAGUGUCUUUAUCACUAGCUGGGGAAGAGUGAAAACUUUCCUGGAAUAUUCCUUGAACACAGCUGCGGUUCACCAGACAGGCUGUUAAGGCAAAUUGGUGUAUGUCUGCGUACACGUGUGCAACCAUGUGUGAGGUGUACACGCUAACUUGAGUUGGGAUUGGAAGGCAACAACUCCAAAACCAAAUGGAUUGUAGUUUCUCCUUGGGGAUGUCAUCUCUCAGUAAAUUGGAAACUUGACUACACCUGUGCACCCUUUCAGACCAGGGAGUGGCUUAGCCAGCUGGCUCUGCUUAUUACACACUUAGUGCCUCCUCUUUCCCAUUUCUAAGAUACGGCAUCUUUUCUACCCUUCGAGACCUAGAGAUAAAACAAAAUCAAUGUUCAGCCCUUCCAUUGCAAGUAUAAAGUGAUUUGAAUCUGGUGGAAGAAAGGAAUGAGGCAGUGCGUUUGCAAUGGUUUAUUUUGUCUUGCUGGAUGUUCUUAGAGAUUGAGGGAUGGUUGGGGAACUAAUCAGGACCUUCCAGGUAGAGAGGCACAAGAGGAAUGAGAAGGCCAAUUAGCCAUGCUACCAAUACUAACAGUUGCUCCUUCUUGGAUAACUAGUAUUUACCAGGGGUAUCAUAGAUAACUCAUGCAACCUGACAAUCUUCUUAGGCACUUGAUAAGACAAGUACAAAUCCCACUGUCUUCUUCAACAGGACAGGCAAUCUUCUCUCCAUCAUCAGAGAGCUGCUUUCCCUAGAGCCACUUAUUUAAUUAUUUUGAAAGUUUAAUAAGGGCCAAGAGUUCUGGCUAGUGGCUUAUAUUAUCAUCACAGAAGGUAAUUUUUAUUACCUUCAAAUAAUAAUACAGGCAGCCAAGGGUGGUGAUUAUACGCCGUCCUCAGAACUCCCAGUCACACCUGUCCAGUUUGUCUCUGUUAAUGGGUUCCAGGGUGAAAGAAUGGAUUGAGGAUGGCAGAUGUCAAAGGUAUUUUUGUGGGUAACCCAGUAAAACCUAUUUCUAUAAAUAUAAUGUUUCUAAAUCAGGAUAGCUAGGAAAUUAAAUUCCUUCAAAUAGAUAACUAAGAUCUUUUUUCUCCUUCUAUUUGCCUCACAUGGCAAUGUUACAAAAAUAAACAUUCUCGAUUGCCAAAGCAGGCUUGUUAUUGUGGCCUUGGCUCAAUGGAGAUAUCGAUGCAUAAAGAUUCAAUUUCUCUCUGGUGGUGAUGCUUAAUAUACUUCAAUUUGUUUCUCGGUGAAGGGGCUUGGUUAUUUAUUCUGGGUAAACUGGCCUUCUUGUGUUGCCACAGUGUCCCUUAGUCUCUGAUGUCAAGGCCAGCAAGUUGGCGGGGCCUCAUUUGUUCCCAGGCAAAUCAGAAGACAGAAAAUUGAUUCAGAUCUAAGCAGAGUGGUAGCAUCUCAAAAGCUCUGUCACCAGCGUUCACCGCAAAUAUAUCUCUUCCUAGAGUGGGUGUUCUGAAACUUUGGUCUGCAUCUCACUUGUAAUAAAUAUCCUCCUUUUAAAAAUUUCAAACAGAACUACCCAGGAAAAGUAGCAUGACUUUAGAUAGAAAUAUGAUUUCAAGGUCCCUCUGUCUCUCUGAGAUCUCUUGAAUAUGCAUGUGAUCCCAGAACAGAGUUCUUCCACAAAAGCCUUUAUGUUUUUACACAAAGCUCCUUCGAUUCCCACUAUCACCUUUAUUGGAAAUAAACUCAAAAUAGUAUAAAUGAGAAUAAAUUGUUUGAAACUCUCUGUGCCACACAGUUCAUCUCCAGCACUUUGCUUUCCCUUACUGCUGAAGGAAAGGAAGUGACAGCAUCAGCUUUAAAUCUGUAGAUUGAGUGGUGGGCACCUGCCUGUGCUUCUGUGAUCUACUGGCAAUCUCCACUUAUUGUCAGGUUGCAGCAGUAUUUAUUUUCCCUUAAUUGGAAGCCCACUGAUACCCUGUGGAAUUUCCUCCCCUUGGCAGGGCAGUAUAUCCAUGUCGACAGAGAGCAUAGCCACCAUGGUCUAUUGUAAUAUUAUAGUUGGAAAUAUCAACCCUGGGAUCAAAAUUAAACCAACACCUAGGCUAAUGGAGUUUCUAGACUGUCUUUUGAUAUUAUUAGGAACUCACCAUUUUUCUCAGUGUUUAUCUUUGGAGUUACAGCAAUGUCAGCAGAAAUUCAAAUUGAAUACGCUUUAUCAGAGCGUUUCCCCUACUGUUUCAAUUCUUCACUGCUUUGCUUUGAGAAGUGAGGGGUGACUGAUAAAGUUACUGACUAUUACACAUAAUGAACACAAGAGAUUGGGCACUCUGUAUAGAAAGGUUACUGUUUUAUUAUAUCUUUUUCCUUUUUAGGUAAAUAAAUAUAAUAAGAUCAACUGUGUGAACACGCCUGGAAAGACAAUUUUAUUAGAAUUCAGUUAAUUAAAAUGAAAUUAACAAGUAAAUCCCCUUUCUCUUAACUUUCAGUGUCAAAACAGGAUUCGUUACUUUGGACAUCAGAGGGCCUCUUCAUGGUCUUUAUUUAUGGCUACAGCAUUUGCAUGUGCUUCUCCUUUGUGCUAUUUUUAUUUUUGUCAUUGGAGUUCAUGAAGAUUUAAUCAUCAGCCUUCUAAUUUUCCAGAAAAAAAAAUGUUGAUUUAUUGAACUGGCUGCAGAAGAAGAAGCAGCAGAGGAAGAAGAGUAAGAAGAAGAUGAUCAAUCUGACGUUGUAGGUUAAGAGUAGCGAACAAAACACAUUCAUAAUUAGAAGAGAAAAGGACUUUCCUUGUUCAUUCCAGUUUAUAAUAAAAAGCCCCUCGCCAAAGUGUCUUAGAAAAUAAUGCAUUCAGACUGAGUCGAAUUACCGCCUAGCAGAUUCUAUUUAUCUGUAGCUUAAAAAGCAGCUGCGUUUUUGUAAAAAGCAAUGAAUGUGGCAGUCCUACUUAAAGGUAGAAGAAAAAGAACACCCCUUGUUUUGUAAUAAGGGGAUUUUCAAUUUAAAAGAGAGAGCGAGCCUGUUGUGUGAAGUGCGGUUAUUACAUUCACUGUAUUCUAUCUCACCCACCAGGAGGCUAAUAAUGAAGGGGCCGGGGAAGGAGGCCAGUGCGACGAGGGUUAUCUCAGAGCCUCAGAUGCUGGAUAAGUCGAAGGAGGCAGACUCGCUUUUGGAGGACAUUCAGAAAGGCCAGAGUGAUUAUUUGGAAGAGAAAAGCCUGCCUAUUCUUUUCCAAGGUGCGUGAAUAUUCCCCUGGCCUGCCCGUCCACUGAUGAAUUAUUAGCGACCUGCCUUAGACAAAGGAUGCACUGGGAGCCCCACCACACCUCAAGCCAUGCUUUGAAGGAUCUGCCAAGCUCACUUUUAAUCAUGAGAAAGAAAUUACCCACAUGGAGUCAGCAGAAAAUGAGAAA